AAAGUCGUAACAAGGUUUCCGUAGGUGAACCUGCGGAAGGAUCAUUAACGAGUUAGGGUUCUUCUCGAGCCCGACCUCCCAACCCUUUGUCUAUCUAACCUCUUGUUGCUUCGGCGGACCCGUCUUCACCGACCGCCGGGGGACCGUCGAACGUCCCCUGGCCCGCGUCCGUCGAUGGCCAUUCCAUCAAAACUCUGAAUAAAUCGUGUCAUUUGUCUGAGUAAUAAGCAAAAUUAAAGCAAAACUUUCAACAACGGAUCUCUUGGUUCUG
rnacentral:misc_RNA from 1 species